CUGUGCACAAGGGCCAAAAUCCUGACUUCCCUCCCAUGACACUUAUAAAGUUAGCUGAGGGUCUUGGUGAGGAAAGUAUAGCAUAGUGCUAACUACACAAAGUUGUUAGAGUUGGAGUCAGCUGCCCCAGAAAGCUCUAAGAAUUGACAUUUGUUGCCCAAGGAUGCACUGAACGGUGUUAACAAACUGUGAAUUCAUACUAAACUUGAGGUCAGCCACACCCAGGGUCUUUUACGAAAGAACUUCACAGCUGGUGUUUACCGUACCUCCCAGUCCCUUUUCUCACCAUCUUCCAGAGGCAUCCACAAUGUGAAAAUGCAGUUUUGUUUUUGCCCUGUGGCCACAGUGAUAGUGAGCACCCAGGCUUGUACCCUUCCUAUGUUGGCUGUACCCCAGAUGGUACCCCACCUUUCCUGAGGAGAGAACUGAGCAUCUUCUACUUCAGAACCAUAUUCGUUUCCUUUGACUGCUCUCACAAAUUACCAUAAACUUAGUGGCUUGGACACACAUUGGUUCUUGUACAGUUCUGCAGGUUAGAAGUCCGAAGUUAAGUUUAUAGGGCCAAAUCAAGGUAUGGGCAGGCCUGGUUCUUCUAGAGGCUGCAGAGGAGAAACUGUUUCCCUGCUUUUCCUUUGGUCAGGGACCCCUUUCUCCAUUUUUGAUUUAAAGCACAUCAGUUCCAUCUCUGCUUCCAUCAUCACAUGGCCUUCUCUUUUCCCAUCAAAUUUCCCUCUGCAUCCGUCUUAUAGUAUCAC
rnacentral:lncRNA from 1 species